GAAAGUAAGCAAGGGCAGACGGUGGAUGCCUUGGCUCUCGGAGGCGACGAAGGACGUGAUAAGCUGCGAAAAGCUCGGGGGAGGCGCAAAUAGCCGUUGAUCCCGGGAUAUCCGAAUGGGGCAACCCGGCAGGCUGAAGGCCUGUCAUCCCGAAAGGGAGGCGAACGUGGGGAACUGAAACAUCUAAGUACCCAUAGGAGGAGAAAAUAAACAAUGAUUCCGUAAGUAGUGGCGAGCGAACACGGAAGAGCCCAAACCCAUGUCGUCUAGGCGACACGGGGGUUGUAGGACCACGACGUGGCAAGAUAGAGUCAAGUGGAACGCCUUGGAAAGGGCGACCGUAGAGGGUGAUAGUCCCGUACACGACUGACGAUUGAAGCCUAGUGGUAUCCUGAGUAGCGCGGGGCACGAGAAAUCUUGCGUGAAACAGCGGGGCCCAUCCCGUAAGGCUAAAUACUCCCGAGAGACCGAUAGCGAACCAGUACCGUGAGGGAAAGGUGAAAAGAACCCCGAGCAGGGGAGUGAAAUAGACCCUGAACCCGUCUGCCUACAAGCGGUCGGAGCGUCGUAAUGACGUGACGGCGUGCCUUUUGCAUAAUGAACCUACGAGUUACCUUCCCCGGCAAGGUUAAGUUCUUGAGGAACGGAGCCGAAGCGAAAGCGAGUCUGAACAGGGCGCCAAGUCGGGGGGGGUAGACGCGAAACCGAGUGAUCUACCCUUGGCCAGGUUGAAGGUUGGGUAACACCAACUGGAGGACCGGAUGGGUAAGCGUUGAAAAGCUUUCCAAUGAGCUGAGGGUAGGGGUGAAAGGCUAAUCAAACUCGGAGAUAGCUCGUACUCCCCGAAAUGCAUUUAGGUGCAGCCUCUUUAUAGUAUAUCGUGAGGUAGAGCGACUGAUUGGAUGCGAGGGCUUCACCGCCUAUCAAGUCCAGAUAAACUCCGAAUGCGCGAUAUAUAUUUACAGGGAGUGAGGGCGCGGGUGCUAAGGUCCGUGUCCGAGAGGAGAAGAAUCCAGACCACCGGCUAAGGCCCCCAAAUGAUCGUUAAGUUGAACUAACGAGGUCGGAUCGCAGAGACAGCUAGGAUGUUGGCUUGGAAGCAGCCAUUCAUUUAAAGAGUGCGUAACAGCUCACUAGUCGAGCGAUCUGGCGUGGAUAAUAAUCGGGCAUAAACGAUCUGCCGAAGCCGUGGAUGUCGCAAGACAUGGUAGGGGAGCAUUCCAUGCCGCGUCGAAGAUGAGGGAUGACCCUUGUUGGAGCGCAUGGAAAAGCAAAUGUAGGUAUGAGUAACGAUAAGGGGGGCGAGAAACCCCCCCGCCGAAAGACCAAGGUUUCCUGAUCAACGCUAAUCGGAUCAGGGUGAGUCGGGACCUAAGGCAAAGCCGAACGGCGCCGCCGAUGGAAGAAUGGGUUAAUAUUCCCAUACUGCCUCAUGGAGUGACGUGGAGACGGAGAAGUGACAGUCCUGCCGGCUGACGGAAUAGCCGGUUGAAGGGUGUAGAUAUUGAUUCCCGUAGGCAAAUCCGCGGGGAGAGUCGAACCUGAGAGUAUACGGAGCGCUUGCGCAACGUAAUAUGGACGUAACCAUGCUCCCGAGAAAAUCCGCUAAACUUAUCCAUGCGGCACCCGUACCGUAAACGGACACACGUGGUCGGGUUGAGAAUACUGAGGCGCUCGAGUGAUUCACGGUUAAGGAACUAGGCAAAUUGACCCUGUAACUUCGGGAUAAAGGGUCCUCGUCGUAAGGCGAGGCGCAGAGAAUAGGUCCAGGCAACUGUUUAACAAAAACACAUGGCUGUGCGAAAUGGAAACAUGAGGUAUACAGCCUGACACCUGCCCGGUGCCGGAAGGUUAAGAGGAGAUGUCAUCCGCGAGGAGAAGCGUUGAAUUGAAGCCCCGGUAAACGGCGGCCGUAACUAUAACGGUCCUAAGGUAGCGAAAUUCCUUGUCGGGU
rnacentral:rRNA from 1 species